CAUUAGGCAGUAAUCAGGCUGCACUUCUACUAUUUUCAUCAACCAACAUCCAGAGGCUGGAAGAGUGAGAGAAGGUAAAUGAGAAGACGACAGCUCAGAAGGCAUCGCAGAGCGCGUGGUACACGUUGCAUGGCCGCAGCACGGUAACGUGCUCGCGACGCAUCCAUGGCAAUGCAUGAACGGGACCCCAGGCAUCCAUGUUUUUGGUCCCUGGUGUGACCGGACCAGGUAUUAAGCAUUCCUGGGUGAUUGUACCUAGAUUUAAACAGUAGCCUACAAGAAAGAAACAUGAUGAAGCAAGUUAAACAAAACUGCCAGACGAGAAUGCUGCGGCCACUAGGUCUCAGAAAGACAACGUCUCAGACUGCAUUGCAGUUAACCUAAUUGCCUAAUGUGUGGGUCCUCCUAUGCCAAGCGACACCACUGACCAACAGCGACUGGAAGAAUUAUUUUCACAACCGCAAAAACAAUUGUGCGAUCUUCUUGUCUCUCUCUCUUAUAUGUGUAUGAGCAGGUCUCUUGCCCACUACACUUUCUGCCCAUCCUCAAACACGUGCGUUCGCUUUGUAUUUUAACAGGGCAAAGCAAAGCGUCUGCGGCGUGCAGUGCUACUGACAGCGGGGUCUACAUCAGUUUUGCCCUAUUAAAUAGCCCCCAUAGAGGGCCAAAUCCAGCCCGCAGAGACGCCCGAAAUUCUUCACUAAACUACUUCGGAAAAGCGGUUAAAAAAAAGUCUGUAUUUGAUAAGCGCCGCAGUCUUCUCUGAAGUUCGAGGUCUUCGCAUGACAACUGAGCGACUGAUCAUACAAAAAUUAUGGCAUUUUCGAUUAAAAAAAGACAAAUGUUGAAAUAUGUUCCACUCUCCCCUGCAUUCAUAAAAUUACAUUUUAAA